rnacentral:misc_RNA from 1 species
AGCAGCGACGGCGUCCCGUGCAGCCCUCUUCAAUUGUUGGCCCAAGUGCGUGAAGCCUUGGCCAGUGUUGGUCUCCUGUGCUGCAUACCUGCCGCAAGGGCAUUCGGUCGGCUCAAACGUCCCAUUAUCUCCUCGUGCUGCGCCUCCAAGGGUUGCGGCACGGGGUGAACCACGAAGCAUCCGCCGUGUUCCACUUCCCGAUCGCUUUUGGCGACCUCGGGUUUCUUGGCCCAUGGCGGCAUGCUUGAUCUCUCAGAUGCGGAAAACCCAAUCGGCAUGAGGCCCUCAGGCCUCUAUUUGUCCCGAAACAAAGCGUGAUCUACGCUCGUCCGAACGACUGCCGCUCUCGUUUUGGUCGGGCCCUCGUGUCUCGACUCAUGCGGCGACGGCGUCGAUAAGGAAUGCUAC